rnacentral:misc_RNA from 1 species
UGUUCGAGCGUCAUUUCAACCCUCAAGCACAGCUUGGUAUUGAGCCCACGUCAGCGAUGGCCGGCUCUAAAAUCAGUGGCGGCGCCGCUGGGUCCUGAACGUAGUAAUAUCUCUCGUUACAGGUGCUCGGUGUGCUCCCGCCAAAACCUCAAUUUUCUAUGGUUGACCUCGGAUCAGGUAGGGAUACCCGCUGAACUUAA